rnacentral:rRNA from 1 species
GGCUUCCGAGUGAGGCUCUGGGUCACCUCCCACCCGUGUUUAUUUUACCUUGUUGCUUCGGCGGGCCCGCCUUAACUGGCCGCCGGGGGGCUUACGCCCCCGGGCCCGCGCCCGCCGAAGACACCCUCGAACUCUGUCUGAAGAUUGUAGUCUGAGUGAAAAUAUAAAUUAUUUAAAACUUUCAACAACGGAUCUCUUGGUUCCGGCAUCGAUGAAGAACGCAGCGAAAUGCGAUACGUAAUGUGAAUUGCAAAUUCAGUGAAUCAUCGAGUCUUUGAACGCACAUUGCGCCCCCUGGUAUUCCGGGGGGCAUGCCUGUCCGAGCGUCAUUGCUGCCCUCAAGCACGGCUUGUGUGUUGGGCCCCGUCCUCCGAUCCCGGGGGACGGGCCCGAAAGGCAGCGGCGGCACCGCGUCCGGUCCUCGAGCGUAUGGGGCUUUGUCACCCGCUCUGUAGGCCCGGCCGGCGCUUGCCGAUCAACCCAAAUUUUUAUCCAGGUUGACCUCGGAUCAGGUAGGGAUACCCGCUGAACUUAAGCAUAUCAAUAAGCGGAGGAA